rnacentral:tRNA from 1 species
GUUUUUAUAAUUUAAAAAAAAAUAUUGGUCUUGUAAACCAAAAAUAAGAAUUUUUCUUUAAAAACU